rnacentral:rRNA from 1 species
AGAGUUUGAUCCUGGCUCAGGAUGAACGCUAGCGGGAGGCCUAACACAUGCAAGUCGAACGGGAUUGGGAGCUUGCUCCCAUGAGAGUGGCGCACGGGUGAGUAACGCGUAUGCAACCUACCUUUAACAGAGGGAUAGCCCAUAGAAAUGUGGAUUAAUACCUCAUAGUUCUAUUGAGUCGCAUGAUUUGAUAGAUAAAGCUCCGGCGGUUAAAGAUGGGCAUGCGUGACAUUAGCUAGUUGGUAAGGUAACGGCUUACCAAGGCUACGAUGUCUAGGGGUUCUGAGAGGAUGAUCCCCCACACUGGUACUGAGACACGGACCAGACUCCUACGGGAGGCAGCAGUGGGGAAUUUUGCGCAAUGGGGGAAACCCUGACGCAGCAACGCCGCGUGAGUGAUGAAGGCUUUCGGGUCGUAAAGCUCUGUCAGAGGGGAAGAAAUGAGACUGGCUAAUAUCCAGUUUUCUUGACGGUACCCUCAAAGGAAGCACCGGCUAACUCCGUGCCAGCAGCCGCGGUAAUACGGAGGGUGCAGGCGUUGUUCGGAUUUAUUGGGCGUAAAGCGCGUGUAGGCGGUUUCUUAAGUCUGAUGUGAAAGCCCUGGGCUCAACCCAGGAAGUGCAUUGGAUACUGGGAGACUUGAAUACGGGAGAGGGUAGUGGAAUUCCUAGUGUAGGAGUGAAAUCCGUAGAUAUUAGGAGGAACACCGGUGGCGAAGGCGGCUACCUGGACCGAUAUUGACGCUGAGACGCGAAAGCGUGGGGAGCAAACAGGAUUAGAUACCCUGGUAGUCC